GCCCCCCCCACCCCGGGGGAUUUCCCCAGCCCCAAAGGGGGGAAUAAAAAAAGGUUGUCGCAGUAAAAAAAGCCGGGGAGGGGGUUUUUCUGUAUAAUUAUUUUUAAAAAUUUUGUGAUGAAUUUUUUAUAUAAUAUUAACAUUCUUCAUAUUACUUUUUUUUUUAGUAUAUGAAAUUUUACUUUGAGAAAAUUAGAGUGCUUAAAGCAGGCAUAUGCCUUGAAUACUCCAGCAUGGAAUAAUAUUAAAGAUUUUUAUCUUUUUUAUUGGUUCUAAGAUAAGAAUAAUGAUUAAUAGGGACAGUUGGGGGCAUUUGUAUUUAACAGUCAGAGGUGAAAUUCUUAGAUUUGUUAAAGACAAACUAAUGCGAAAGCAUUUGCCAAGGAUGUUUUCAUUAAUCAAGAACGAAAGUUAGGGGAUCGAAGACGAUCAGAUACCGUCGUAGUCUUAACCAUAAACUAUGCCGGUUAGAGAUGGAGGCGCGU
rnacentral:rRNA from 1 species